AUGAGGAAUGUGAAAGCUAAAAUGGCCACGCACGCAGUGGAGCAAGGCAUUUCUCUGCACCAAGGCGGCACCAGCUGUCGCCUAUCCAGACGCCUCGCUGAUCCUGCCCAAUCCACAUGGGCAUCACUGCACACAGACCUGCUCGACCUGAUUGCCAGUCGGGUACUCGCCAGCGACCUUCUGGACUACGUCCGGUUCCGUGCAGUGUGCUUAGGAUGGCGUGUCACGACUCCUUGCCCACGCGGUCGAGGCGUGGUUGACCCGUGCUUCCACCCAUGUCAGUGGAUGAUGUUCCCAGAAGGUGGUGGUCUGUACCCAGGCCACCCUGCACUACUUGGCUAUGUACGCUUCUUCAACCUCUCUACCGGCACCUUCGUUCGCGUCAGACUCCCUGGCUUCAGAAACCACUCUGUGCUUGACUGCCCUGACGGCCUCCUUCUCCUGCGGCACAACAAGAGCACUGUCAUCUGCCUUCUCCACCCCUUUACAGGCGACGUCGUUUUGUUCCCGCCUCUUUCCUCCAUCUUCCCUCAGCUGGCCAAGUUCAUCAGUGACUUUAGCAAGAUUCAGGACACCCGGUUUGUCCGCGCGUCCGUCUCCGUCAAUCUGGUUGGUACUGUCACCAUGAUGCUCGCGUUGCCUGGCCUUGAUCGUGUGGCGUAUGCAUCCACCGGUGACCGGCAGUGGACUCCUACGAGCUGGAAAAUGAAGCACUUGUACUCGGCAUUGCCAUUCGGUGGCAGCCUCUAUGUGGUGGAUGGAGGGUGGGGUCUCGAACCAUCGCGCAUCCUGCGCAUCGAUCCUCCAGAAGAUUCCAACCCCUCCUCAUGGUCAGUGAUACCACCACAAAUGGUCACCCAAUGUCCAGUGAAACUGUUGAGGAUGCCUCAACUGGUAGAGUGCAACUCCGAGCUGCUUUUGGUUGGCUAUGACAGUGGACACUCAAGGAUUGUGUUUUUCCGGGUUGCUGACCUUCUAAAUGGAGUCACCACCAUGCAGCUGACAAGCAUCGGUGAUCAAGCCGUCUUCAUCGGCGGAUGGAACAUGGCUGUUAACUCCAAGAGCCUGCCAUCCGUCCAGGGGAACUCCAUCGCCAUUAUCAAUGAAAUAGGUGGUGGUCUUGCAGGCAGGGGAACUCUACCGCUAUACGAUCUUGGCAGCGGUACCUGGUCACAGGUGUUUGACGGACCCUUCCUCGAUGGACCCAUGCCUAGGCCGUACAGCCUUGUCCUCCACGUCGCAACCUGCUGCCAGCGCCUUUUCUGGAACAGUGGGAAAAUCUUGUGUUUCAACACAGACGUAGGACUAGGAGCCGAGGAGUGA
rnacentral:rRNA from 1 species